AUCCGUCAAGGUGUGUGAAAGAAAGGGGCCGGGCUCCGUAACGGCGUGGAGGGUGGCAGGGCACGCUGGGUCCUUUCGGCAUGGAAGGAGAAAGUAUAGCGUGAAUAUUGGCCUCUGCUGAAUGUGCUGGCACUGUACUCUCUCGCAUAACCACAUUCAGCUGCACUGCUGCGAAUGAGUCCUCUCUGAACAGAAGUGCAAUAGCGAAGGACUGGACAGCCUUGUUCUGGAUGACAGGUGUGCUGAAUUGCCUCGUUUUAUCCUGGCCUCUUUCCUGGCAUCGCUGAGAGGAUUUGGGCCUAGAGUGCAGCUCUUGAAUUCUGAGGUGAAAGGAAACUACAGCUCGAAAAAAAAAAAACAAAAAAAAAAAA